rnacentral:rRNA from 1 species
CGACGCAACUCCCAACCCCUGUGACAUACCUAUACGUUGCCUCGGCGGAUCAGCCCGCGCCCCGUAAAACGGGACGGCCCGCCCGAGGACCCCUAAACUCUGUUUUUAGUGGAACUUCUGAGUAAAACAAACAAAUAAAUCAAAACUUUCAACAACGGAUCUCUUGGUUCUGGCAUCGAUGAAGAACGCAGCAAAAUGCGAUAAGUAAUGUGAAUUGCAGAAUUCAGUGAAUCAUCGAAUCUUUGAACGCACAUUGCGCCCGCCAGUAUUCUGGCGGGCAUGCCUGUUCGAGCGUCAUUUCAACCCUCAAGCUCAGCUUGGUGUUGGGACUCGCGGUAACCCGCGUUCCCCAAAUCGAUUGGCGGUCACGUCGAGCUUCCAUAGCGUAGUAAUCAUACACCUCGUUACUGGUAAUCGUCGCGGCCACGGUUUAAACCCCAACUUCUGAAUGUUGACCUCGGAUCAGGUAGGAUACCCGCUGAACUUAAGCAUAUCAUAGGGAAAGAAUCCCCUUGUUUUCUUUUCCGGCCUGGUGAUCGAUGGCGAACGGGAGAGCAGCCCAAAAAAAAACGGCAUCCUUUGAAUAGUGUUUUU